rnacentral:rRNA from 1 species
UACGUAGGGUGCAGGCGUUAAUCGGAAUUACUGGGCGUAAAGCGUGCGCAGGCGGUUUCUUAAGUCAGAUGUGAAAGCCCCGGGCUUAACCUGGGAACUGCGUUUGAAACUGGGAGACUUGAGUGUGGCAGAGGGGGGUGGAAUUCCACGUGUAGCAGUGAAAUGCGUAGAUAUCAGGAGGAACACCGGUGGCGAAGGCGGCUCUCUGGACGGAUACUGACGCUGAGGCGCGAAAGCGUGGGGAUCAAACAGG